rnacentral:rRNA from 1 species
AACCAGCACCUCAAGUGGUCAGGAUGAUUAUUGGGCCUAAAGCAUCCGUAGCCGGCUCUGUAAGUUUUCGGUUAAAUCUGUACGCUCAACGUACAGGCUGCCGGGAAUACUGCAGAGCUAGGGAGUGGGAGAGGUAGACGGUACUCGGUAGGAAGGGGUAAAAUCCUUUGAUCUAUUGAUGACCACCUGUGGCGAAGGCGGUCUACCAGGGGGGGGGGGGGGGGGGGGGAUGAAAGCUGGGGGAGCAAACCGG